AUUGAACGCUGGCGGAAUGCUUUACACAUGCAAGUCGAGCGGCAGCGCGGGGCAACCUGGCGGCGAGCGGCGAACGGGUGAGUAAGACAUCGGAACGUGCCCAGACGUGGGGGAUAACUACUCGAAAGAGUAGCUAAUACCGCAUACGAUCUAAGGAUGAAAGCGGGGGAUCGCAAGACCUCGCGCGUUUGGAGCGGCCGAUGGCAGAUUAGGUAGUUGGUGGGGUAAAGGCUUACCAAGCCUGCGAUCUGUAGCUGGUCUGAGAGGACGACCAGCCACACUGGGACUGAGACACGGCCCAGACUCCUACGGGAGGCAGCAGUGGGGAAUUUUGGACAAUGGGCGAAAGCCUGAUCCAGCCAUUCCGCGUGCAGGAUGAAGGCCCUCGGGUUGUAAACUGCUUUUGUACAGAACGAAAAAGCUCUGGUUAAUACCUGGAGUCCAUGACGGUACUGUAAGAAUAAGCACCGGCUAACUACGUGCCAGCAGCCGCCGUAAUAC
rnacentral:rRNA from 1 species